rnacentral:siRNA from 1 species
GGGUAUGAUCCAGGUUGUCU